CAAUUGAUUUUUUCCUUUGGCCAUUGAUAAUGUGAUCUAAGAAUUUUGGUACUAUUUUUCAUAUCCAGUACAUGCCACAGACCAUUUUUGCAGUAAGUAUUGAUGUCGUUUGCAGGCACCUCUUUUGCCUAAAGCUCAAGUUCAGUGGUAGGACUUGAUGUCUUCAAUUACUAAGAACUCAGGUCAGUCUCAGUUCUGUGGUCAGAGAUAGACUCUCCCUGGUACCUGCCAACUUGCCAGUUCCAGAGUGGUACCACACAGGUGGAGGGGUGCGGGGGUACCUCUGACUAGAGCAAUUGGUAUCACUGCUGGGGAGACACACAAUCUAAAGAUUGUCUUAUGAUUCCAGAUGAUGGAUCCACAUAAGCCUUGUAGUUAAAUGUUUUUAAACAAUGUGAAUAAGAUACAAAAGGUACAGAUAUUGCUUCAGAUGCUUUUGCAGUAUUAUUUGAUAUUGAUGCAGUUUGCUUAGAGUUCAUUGUGUUUUUUUAGCUGUGCAAACAAAAACCAAGCCCCAUUUAUUAUGCACAGCUCUGUUGAAUGCUUGUGGUUAAAUGUCUGCCAGAUAUUUUAAUAUAUAGCCACAGAUCACUCUGGGUGACAUCAACACCAACAAGGUCUGUGUGUUUUUUUUUAGUUUCUUUAAAAAAUUUAGUUUGGGCUAUGGAUAUAACCCACUGUAGCAACAGCAACAGUAAAAAGUCACUGAGGAGAACAGAGUAACCUAUAUAGAAAGAGGAUGAUUUAACUAGACAUAUGACAUAGAAAUUAGACACAGUUAGAAGAAAGCUUCCACAUAUUCCUACCUGGGGACCUAUUGGCACACCUCUGUGAGUGCUCAUGGGUUAUUUUCUUGGUCUGCCCCACUGAAGGCUAACCUCUCCGUGGUACACUAAAUCCCAACAUCUGUCCUUUGGCUCUUGUAAUUAUCCAUAUGUGAUCUCUUCUUCCACUCCCAUCUCCCUCCAGCUACUACUGUGCCAUUUCUCUUUCAAAGAGUUUUCUGUAUUUACUGCCUGGCAUACUUCUCCUCUCAUGCUUCUGCAGUCCUCACUCCAGUUAGCCUUUGUGUUCCCCGCCCAUCCCAAACAACUCUCCCUUCAGUAGGAACACCUGGGACCUCCAUGUUUCAAAUUCAGUGUUGAGUUCCCAGUCCUCAUCUUAAUCAUCCUUCCAGCAGGAUCUGGCACAGCCAAUCCUGCCCUCCUCUUUGAAAUCAUUUUUUUAACUUGGCUUCCUUGAUGCCACACUUGGUACUCUGCCUACCCAGACUGUAUUCCUUGCCAGUCUCCUUAGCUGAUCAUGCUGGCAUUGCCUCAGCCCCUCAUGUUCAAGUGCCUCAUUCCUCCCACUGCUUCUCUAACUGCUCUGACUCCCAAUGGUAGAUUAUAUAGUCUCUUGACUUUUAAAUGCCAGUUAAAUACUGGCGAUUAUCAUCUCAGAACUCUCUGUUCAAUUGCAACUGUUUUCUCAGCAUCUCUACUUGGAUGUCUAAUUGGCAUCUCAAACCUAGCAUGUCUGAAACUUAACUCUUCAUUCUCUUCUCCAUACCUACUCACCCCUGCCAUACCCAGCCUGCCCCAUCUUGGUAAAUGGCAACACCAUGUUUUCAAUUGCACAGGCCAGAAAUCCUGGAGUUGCCAUUGGCUCCUCUAUUUCACUUCUACCUGUAUCAGCAAACCCUGUCUACUCUUUAAAACGUAUCCAGAAUCUGACCAGCUACCUGUUAUCUCCACUGCUACCACCUAGGCCUUUCAGCUGACUAGCACCUGUCAUCUUUCAACUGGAUCAGUCAGCUGGGUUCCCUCUUAUAUUCUUGCCUUUGGAAUAAUCCUCCAAAGAUCCUUAGACCAUUCCAUUCUCCCAAUCAGAAGCCUUAUAGAGUUUUCUAUUUCAGAAUAAAGAUGAUAGCCCUUAUAAACACAAUGGCCUAGAAAUUCCUAUGUAAUCUGCUCCCCCUAUCCCUGCCCAGCUUAAUCAAUCUCAUCAUCAUCUUCCUUCUCUCUUGUUUAUUUUGCUGUGGUGACACUGCCUUCUCUAUUGUCCUUAUAACUGAGCAGAUACACUCCCACCUCAGCGCUCCUGUUCAGAUUCUCUCCUGUCUUGCCAUCUUCUUUGUUGCCUAGAUAUUUCUGGGAUCUGCUUCCUCUUUUCCUGCAGAUCUUUGUUGAAAUGCCUACUUUAUCAGAGAAGCCAUCUUUCACUGAUCACCCUAAACAAAAUAACAGCUGCCCCCACCUGUAUUGCAGGAUUGCCUAUCAUUUUUAUCCUGCUUGAGCACUCAUCACCAGCAAGCAUAUUGUGCAUUUGAUUGCAUUUUUUCCUCUCUAGACCGGAAAAUCCAUUAGGGUAGGGACUUUGUCCCUUGUUCAUUGCUGUACCCCCUGAAACAUGGUACCUGGAGGUUACCACGUACUGAAAAAAUUUUUGAUUGCCCAAGUGAAUUUUUCUAAGCAAGGCAUUAAGAAAUAGGCUAUAGGGAAUGUAAGACCCAGUGUACCUGCCAUUUGAGAUGUUCUCAAUAAGAUCAUACUUACUAGAAUAAAAUUUCAUUGGCAUUGAAAUAAAAUGUCAUUGUGUACAAAGGAAGGCAUGAGAGCAGCAGGGAGUAAAUUUAAUAUUAGUGAAACAAAUGUUCAUUGUUGGAGAAUGACUGAAAUUUUACCUUUUCUUUCAUAGCAACAACUAGAAAGUUAAAUGUAGUUGAAGCCAUGCUAUGUUUUAUUGAGUUACAUUUAGAAGGACUGCUGAUCAUACAACAAGCAAUGCAACUGAAGGUAGAAGAAGAAAUCUCCCAGGACAAAAGAAUGAGAAGCUAGUUUGAUUGCCACCCAAGAUUGUCUUUAAGGCAUUAUAUCAUAGUUCGUUCCUUUCCUAAUGGUACAUAAAAUAAUGGAGUGUCUUACAAUCAGCAGUUUCAGCUUGGAUGAAAUAAAUAGGGUGCAUCUCUUUUCUAGAUCUUAGAAUUUUAAGAUCUAUAAAUUGUAAUUUUGCCAUUUAUAGUUAUUAGUUUAUAUUUUAGUUUCUAAGAGAACAAAUGUUUCUCUUCCUUAAGAAUUAAACAAGGAAUGGAGAGCUUAGCCCGGCACUUGUGUUAUGGUUUCUUGGUUUUCCUAGUGAAUGUCUUCCUCCAGCAUUAAGUAGAGAACUGGCGUCAUUGGGACUAAUUAUCUAGUAGUGAAUUUUGACUUUUGCUGUGAUUCGUUUGAAGAUAAUUUUUUUCAGACAGCUGCAGGUUUUUCAAUUUUUUCUUUUGAAAUAAUUAUAGGCUCCUAAGAAGAUACAAAAAUAGUACAGAGAGGUCUCAAGUAUCUAUCACCCAGCUUCUUCCCAUGGUGAUGUCUCUCAUAACUAUAGUACAGCUGCAGUAUUUGAUAGAUGAUCGUGUUCUCUUCCAAUGACCUCCUGGGGUAGGAAUAGGGAGAACAGGUAGUUUUGUCAUGAUAUACAGCUAGCCAUCUCACUUUAGGGGAGGGUUCCUGGUCACAAAAGUUUAGACCAGAGGUGGAGAGAAACUCAUACAUACAUUGGGUUUUAUGACCUAGAGGAAAUCAUCACUUAAGGUUAAAAUAUGUUCAAGAAUUAAUUUGUGGACUAGAGCUUUCCAUUGAUUUGUUGUUGUUUGCUUCAGCACAGCUAUCUUUUGAAGAAAUCAUUUUAUAGUGAUUGUAGACCCUCUAGAAAACUCUUGAAAUAGAUCAGCUUGGAGUUCUAGAAUCACAUUUGGAAGGGACUUUAACCACUCAUUGGAUAGGGUGACUACCCACUUGACAUCCUUCCCAGGUCCCUAUUCCAGCUCCUAAGACCCUCCUCUGUUUAGGGUCUCAGUCCAGUUUCUACAUGAUGGGGCUUUUCUUACCCACACAUCAGACAAUGGAUAGAUACCUCUGUGUUUUUUUCUUCUGCCUUUUAAAUACAUCUAGAUCCUUUAAUCCUGCAGUAGUUUUAGCACCUGUGCCCCCUCCGCCAUCCUAUUUGCUGCUUCUCCAUAGGCUACAGUUUUUCAAUAGCGUGGCCACAUCUUGGAGAGAGGAUAAUGAUGGAUCAGGUAAAUUAGGGUGUGAGCUGAGAGGUAAAUUAUAGGAAAAAUAUAGGGACUUGGUACAAGAUUGGUAACUAAAGCUCAUUAUUAAAAUCAUAUUCUUCAAAUGAGGGUUGUGCCUUCCCUUCUUUCUCUUUUCUGUUUUGUAUUGUCUAUUUCCCUUUGGCUUGUACUUUUGGACACCCUGUGCUAUCUUCUAUCUUUUAAAGCCAGACUUUUAGGAUGUCUGCAUUGUUAGGGUCUGGGAUACCCCUGUCUACCUGGUCUGAAUACUCACCCCUUUUUUACUCCUUUACUUCAUCACCUCCCAGCCGAGACCUCCACCUCCACCUCCACCUUCACCUUCACCUUCACCUCCACCUCUACCUCUGUCCAUGCUCAGAUGUCUGGACUCCAAGUUGUCUUUGCUGCUGUUUUAUAUUCUUUUUUCUCAUUGCUAGAUGAGAACCAGUUCAUAUCAGCAUAAUUAGCGACUGUGCUAUGUGAAUAUGCUGAGACCAGUCUUUUCAAUUUAUUAACACUUAAUUAUGUCUUCCAAAAUUCUGAUUCUGCCCACGUAAAACACUGUUCUCCCACUUUCAGUCUUAAAUGUUUAGCCUGUUGGGGAGCAGUAAAACCCCAACAGGCUACUAUACAUAAACAACAGAGAUGUAAACUUGGGCAUACAAAUUGUCAUCCCCAAAGAGAUCAUCAUUAGAGGUCAAAAUUUCCAAGUUGAACAACACACAGAAAUAGAGAAGUUGAAAGCCUUGGCUUAUUGAGAGUGGUCUUGAAAUAAUUUAGUUGGAGACUCCAAUAAAGGUACUAGGUAGGACAAAAAACUGUCCUAUAAAUAGACAAGAACUUCAGAAAACCCAGCAGUGUGAUAAAGACAUUAUUCUCUGAGCUCUUGUGUGUAGAAUAUUCUAUAAGAGUACUGAAUUCAUAGAGAACGUUAGCCUAGCUACAGAAUAUCCAUACCUAUGUUUAAAAGGAAAAAAAUCAUGGGUAGGUGACCAAGAGGACAAUGUUUUUCAGCUCAUUUGUAUAGUAAAAAUAUAGCAGAAUCUCAGUCCAAAAUAUGCCCUCUAACUUCCUAAUGCAAAGACUUGCCCAGGAGUAGAAAAUAUUUAUUUGUUCAAGCCAUUCCCCUUAGAAGCCAUAUUUAUUCCCAUCGUAAUAACUCUACAUACGUUUUUCCUCCUUUUUUUGUUCUAUGUUUUUUUUCCCCCUCCACUUAGGACAAUAAGGGAAUACAUGUAUGUUUUUAAAUAAUGUUUUGAUCCAUCAUUUUCUUAAUACUACUCUUAGUAAAUUCUUACAUUGAUGAAGACCCACCUAUUUCAGCUAAGACAAUUAAAAAAUUUACUGACAACUUCAUGUUCACUACCACCUAUUAGGAAAGGAAUGCCCACUUUUUCCUGAGGGUUUGUUGCAUGUAGCAUUCCCAUUGGAAUGCUCUUGAGAGGUGUUGGAUUCAUUCUCUGAGCAAUUGUUUUCAUAAAUUCAGCAUAGUGCUCAUGGCUAGAUGGUGUGUAACCUGGUCUCUACCCAAUAUUUUCCCUGUUGUUUUCACACUUAUCUCCAAGGGCCAAAGAUUAUCUCACAGAAGCUCCGAAAGAAUUCCUGUUUCUGAAAUUCAUGUGUACAAGGAAAUUGUUAAAGGGAAGAGGGUGAUAAUCGAGUUCAAACUCUUAAGAAUUUUUGUAAAGGAUUAUAUUGAUUAACAAAAGCUCUCUGGCAUCUUCUGGCAGACACGUGAAAAAAAAGCAGUGAUUGUAAUUAGUUUUUAGUGAGUGGCGCAUAUUUGAUAAUUGCCCUGAUUCACGCUAUUAUAUUUCUCUUCCUUCACCCACAGCAAAACAAGCUUAAUUUGAUUCAUACCCUUAGGAAGAAAAAAAAGACUAAGAUUACUCACAUGGCUGUGAUUCAGCUCUUGGCUCCCACCACCACCUCCUCCUCCUCAUCCUCCGUUUCUCCCACCCUGCCCACUCCCAUCUUCACUCCCACCCAGUGGUGUUGCCAUCAGAAAACUGAGUCAGUUCAUUCUUUAAAAUGGGUGGGGAAAGAAGACAACUAAUAAAAACUUUUCUGAGCAAAGUAUACUGCUUAGAUCUGAAAUCAUUACAGGAAGACAGGCAAAGUGGCUACUUAUAUAACAUGAGAAGCUUGGAACAGGCCAGGUCUUAUAAAAAAUGUUCACAUUGUCUUAUAACACUAGACAUGGUUAGUGUGCAUGUCUAUAGAGGCACACACAUAGCCAUGGAGGCAGGUUUCUUUGAAAAAUUUCUAAUAUUGGGAACGUUACAUACACUAUAUACAAAACAAAUCAUCUGUUUUCAAAGUAGGAUACUUUGCUGUAAUCCAAAGUAAUAUAGCAGGUAACCAGAGAUUUUUGAUUAUUGUAAAACAUAGGUGAUAAAGUCACUUUUUUUUUGCCUUCAAAUGAGCAAUGUGACUUGGAAACCUGAAAUUAUUGUUUCCCACCCCCAGGAGUAGGAAAGUUAGUACUGGGGGUGGCAGCUUGCCGUUAGAGAGGUGAUGGUGGUGGCAAAUGUUAUCGAGGCAGCUAUUUCUAUUCCUUCUUUGUAUUUUCUUUCUUACUCCCAUUCUUCGGAUGAGGCAGCCUUGGAGAAAUGCAGUGACUAUUCCAUUUUCCCACGUGUAAUAAUCUUAGAGCCAGUAUUGGAAGCCAUACUAUAUCUGUCUUUACCCUGACCUGUAGUUUUGGUUUCUGGGAACCCAAUACAGUCAGAUCAUUUGGUAUUUUAGAACUUUUCCUGGGACAGGAAUGGCCCUGAAUAGGAAGCUCCACAGCAGCCUUGAACUGAACUGUUGAGUUAGGUCUGUAUGUAUCCUCAAACCAAGCUCUCACUCGGAGGGGAACAGAAUGGAGCCUUCCCCUAACACUCGUUUGUAAUCCCAACCACCCUUUCCUCGUUUUGCUGGCUUUUCCCCAAUUAUGUUACCAUCUGUCUUUGAAACAUUGCCUGGAUAAAGCAUUCGCCCUUAAACAAAACACAACUGCUUCACCUCCCCACACCCAGAGCAGUGCAGAGCACCGUAUUUGAGGAAUUCCAUAUUUUAUAAAGCUUGCCUGUACCUCAGAGAUGUCUGGUUGCUGUCCUUUUAUCAUUCUUCAAAUAUGUUAUGUGCUGACUGGAAACUAUUAGCUUUUGUCACUGAAGGGUUUGUGGGAUGCUUGAAAUGGCUUCAUAUAGUUUGCAGAUGGAAAUUCAUAUGGUUUGCUUAAGAAAUGAAAAUUUUUAAUGAAAGUCAGCAUAGAAUAGAAUGCACACUGAGAUUCCCCACACAACUCUCUGGGUUUCCUUUAGGGUAAAUGUGGCAGGUUUUUUUUGUCAUCACCCUGUGGAGAGAAUAAACAGUAGACCUCCAAAACUUUUUUCUGGAUCUGUACCUACAUUGUCACGUCUCCAGUUAGUGGCCCCUUUUUGAUGACCAAGGGCAGUGCUCUGUACCCACCAGGGCUGUAGUGUUUCUCCCAUUCUCUGACCUGUUCACCUCUUUUCUUGGCUGAUGACCGUUCCAGUGUCUUGACAUAUCAGGGCCAAUGAGAAUGGGAGUUCUUAAAUGCCCUCCCCAUCUGGCCCCAGGAGACUGUGGGGAAGUUUGGAGGGGAAAGGCCCAAACAGAUCUCAGAUGUAAAGCUUGAAUAUUUUAAAUGCUGAAAUGUUGGGAGGAAAAUAUGGAGUGGCUAGGUGAGUGUCAUUAUUAGUAAAAUAGUUACAAGUGAUUCUUUUUAAAAAGGUUAUGGAAUUGUAUUUUUCUCAUUCAGAAAUGUUAUUUAGGGAAUGACUAAGAUGUGUAUGACUCCACAGUUACUUGUCAGGCAUUGUUCUCAGCACUUAGAGAGUAAUUUCUUAAUCCAGAUGCUACAGCUAGGAACAACAGAACCGGAAUUCAAAUCCCAGCAAGUCUGGCUCCAGAAGCUAGGCUUUUAAAAGAUAUAGGUCCUUUUAGAUGUCAGAGUUUUAGGUGUUUGAUUUUAUUAACAUUCUGUUUUCAUAGCCUGGGUUGAUUUUCAUUGAAAGUCAUCUAAUUAUAGAUUUGAUGUUCUCUAUGUAUUAUAAGAAGGUAACUGUCUCUAAGCUAAUGAAACUCAAUACAUGCUGUUGAAGUAUGAAUGAGUUUUAAUAACCGAGUUUUAAUAACAUAAAGUAGAAAGACUUCAAAAGUCUAAUUCAGAAAUUCACUUCUAAAUAGCUUUGUGAAUUUAAUUUCUGAAAAUCAAUUCUAUAUGUAAAUUGAAAUGUGAAGUAUAUUUCAGUAAACCCUAAAGGGAUAGUCUGUAAAGUGUACAGUCAACUCCUGAAUUUACACUGUUUCAGUGUGUAUACCUUUUUUGUGCCCUCAUCUACCGAUUUGAAAAUUAGAUACUAUAACAGUUUCCUAUGUUAUAAAAGUAGAAUGUGUUUUCUAUAUUAUAGCAAAACUAGUUAUCCAUCAAGGCAUAAUCAACAAUAAAUGCCACGCCUUGGUCAGAGCAGUUGCUGACUUUGCUCAAGGUUAAAGGAAGUAUGGUGAAAAGAGAUAACUGUAAUUAAACUGCUCAGCCCAAGCCUUCCAGAUUUUUCUUGUGGGGAAUUACACUUCUUAUUACUACAUUAUUCCUGUCUGCGUAAUACCUGGAAACAAUGUACUCUAUGUAAUGCCACUCCCAUCUUGGCAGUAAACAUUUUACUGAAGAGGAAGACUUUUAGGGCCUAAAUGUCAAUUUAUCUAAUUGGAAUUUUCACAGAUGACAUUUGAUGCUUUUCAGGUUAUUAUUUUGCAGCUUUUGGACAGAUUGGGAUUAAAGGACUAUACAGAUUUUUUUGUUACGUGAUUGUAUCGUGUAUGUGCUUGUGUGUGAGUUGCCCAGGUUAGACUGAAUUGCAGUAAAUGCAAAAGUGAAAGCUGCAACGUGGCUCUGACCACUUCCUGAAGAACCUGCCACAUGGGCCCCAGACUUAGAGACUUAAACUUGAGUCCUCAGGAUGGAAAGAAUCUGAGUCCCUCAUGGUAAAGACCUCAAGUAAAUCUAAACAUAUAAAACCUGUUUAUUGCUCUUGUGUGAACCCAAAUGUUUGGUUGCCUCAGUUUUCGGUGCACUAUUCUGAAAUUGUAAAUAUCAGGGUACAGAACCAGAACUUUGUCAUACCUGAAAAAUAAUCUUUUAAGUUUCUUGUUUACAUGAUCCUAUUAUUUGAAACCACUUAGAACAUGCGUUCUGAUCCUUAAAUGUACAAGUUAUUAAAAAAAAUGUGAGCUUGUCAGAUAACUACAACCACCAGUCUAAUAAAACUGAGUCACAUCAAAAUGGGCUGCACUUUACACUAUCCUCUCAUUCUAGGGAAAACGUGGCUGGGGGAGGUAGUCUGAGUCAUCACCUGGUUUGUUUGACAUAUACUUCCUUCCAUAAAUUGGGGAUGGCAAGCAGCACAGUGUUCUGGGCUUUCCUGGGAGAAGGAGCUGUUGAAGCCUUGCAUGAUCAAAAUAUAGGGCCUUUAGGUUUGACGGAUGAAGUGGAGCCAAUAUUUUGACCUCAAAUGUCGGGGAGGGGGAGAAGAACUAACAGAUUCAAACAAGGAACAUUUGUAAGUACCAGUUUUGGAGGUCAGAGAAAAUGGUAGGGGUUUUCACAGUUGAAUUUCUUGCUAGGACAUAAAAGGUAUUUAAGAGAGAAAUUGGGGGCAUUAAAAUAAAAGUAAAUUGGUAGCUAGGUCACUAAGUGGGUUCAUUUGCUUAAUAAGAAUGUUCUUGGUUUAGAUAGUUUAGAUGAUUGUGUGUGGGGCAGGGGAGGAAUGAUUUGGUAGUUACAGUACAAAUUUGUCCUGACGGUGUUUAAUUUUGCCUAAUUUAUCCAACUAUUUUAAAAGAAAUAAAUUUCAUGUAAGAACCUUGUCAUGGCAAAUUUGAAUCUUUAGGGGUAUUUCCAGGGGAUAGAGAGAGAGGCUCAUCUGCCUUGCACAUUUUCCUACAGCAGUUUUGUAGAGGCUCACUGGAGCUUUUUAAACUAUAAAAGUUUAGAAUGUAAAAUUGUUGGGGAGACUAUAGAGGAAUUUGAAGGAAGAGUAGAUUUAUAGCUGAAUUGGGUUUGUAAACUCAGCCUCUGCUUUGGGAUUAUUUUUUAAUAUGUGCCAGACAGUCUUCUGAUUUCCAUCCUGGCUUGGUUGUGGCUCUUUCUCUGACUGUGUGUGGCUGGGGUGUUCCCUGUUUUAAAGCUGGAGUUGUUGCUGCCUGGGCGUUUUCUGUUUCAGCUUAUGGCUUUUUUUCUCUUUUCCUGAAUGAGUGUCCUUUGUGUAACCCCAGUAAUUCAGAAAUCCUGCAGUCAUAGGGACUGCCCUGUCAUGUGACUUAGGUGCUAGGUGCUGGCUGCGAUUGGUCAGCAGCUAAUUGGCGGGUCCCUAUAAGAGGUCCUGGGUUGGGAGUCUGGCCACUUCUUCUGCCUGGGCUGCUGCUUAGUGGGGGUGGGGGUCUGCCCAGUGAUUCAGCCACAUGUGAUAGAUGACCUAGUGAAUGCUUUCUUAGGGUCUGCACACCAGUGGAAGACACUCAAACUGGUUGUGGCCGACUUGAUCAAACAAACUCUGGCUUCCUGAACUGGUAACUGUCACUUUAACAUAGGUUACUGAUUAAACUCAGAAAAAUGCGGCUGAAAAUCUUUGCCAGGAACUUGUGUGGACUUACUCCGUGUUCCCCCUCUGCCCCUUGUUCUGAUUCGUUUUGUCACAGGAAUGAAGUGCAGAUAACUCUUCAAAAACUUUUUUAGGAAAAGCUCCUUGUGUGAUCUGGAACAAAGACGUUUUAUAAUCAGAUUUAUCAAGCUGUGAAGAGGGAGUUUUAGCGAACGGAAGCAGCAGCAUUCUGUCACCAGGAAAUACUGCUUUAUCCAGAAUUGUUGAAGUACUGAUCACAUGUCCAUGGUGUGACAGCCACUCUGGGAAGAAAUACUUGAGUUGAAGAGUCCCUCCCUAGAAGGCCAAAGAUGGUACAGCUGCCAG